rnacentral:misc_RNA from 1 species
AAGACUAUAGACCUGCGGAGUACCUGCGGAAGGAUCAUUACAAAGGUUGAUUAAAUGCCGUGUUCCCGGGGCACCUCUCUUUCUCUCUCGAGGGGGGUGUGUGUUUCGGGGGCGCGGCAUGCACCAACAACCACGAUCAUCCACCGUGUGCACUCAUUGAACCAUUGGAGGUUUUUUUGACCUCUCAUGGUUCCAAACCUUUCUAAAGUCUUACCGUUUGUCUGAACAUUAUGAUUUUCA